GCCGAGGUGGCGGAACAGGCAGACGCAAGGGACUUAAAAUCCCUCGAUGGAAACAUCAUACGGGUUCGAUUCCCGUCCCCAGCACCA
rnacentral:tRNA from 1 species